CCCCGCGGGGCGGAAGUGACGAACGCACCUGAGCACCCACCUAAUGUUCCCGCGGACGCGCAGCAGUGACGUUGCUGGGAGUUCCGGGGCGAGCGGGUGUUUCAGGGGUGUCGGCUAACCUCAGGCGCCAGAGAAGCGUCUGGCCUGACCUUGGGCCGGACUUGGACUGCUACUGACGCGGUAGGAGGGGCGGUCGAGGAAAGGUGCCGCAGCCGAGACGCGUGGGGCAGGCCCGAGGAUCUUUUCAAAGAAUGGAAGAAAAUAUGAAGCUUGCUACAGUGGAAGACACUGUGGAGUAUCACCUAUUCCUGAUACCAGAUGAACCAAGAGACCCAGAAAAACACAAAGAGAUUCUUCAAAAGUAUAUCGAGAGGAUAAUGACCCACUCUGCACCUAUGCUGGUCCCCUAUAUCUGGCAGAAUCAGCCUUUCAAUCUCAAAUACAAACCUGGAAAAGGAGAUGUUCCUGCUCAUAUGUUUGGCAUGACAAAGUUUGGGGAUAACAUUGAGGAUGAAUGGUUUAUUGUUUAUGUAGUAAAGCAAAUUACAAAGGAAUUUCCAGAGUUAGUAGCAAGGAUUGAAGACAAUGAUGGUGAAUUCUUGUUAAUAGAAGCUGCUGACUUUCUCCCUAAAUGGCUGGAUCCUGAUAAUAGUGCCAAUAGAGUAUUUUUCCACCAGGGAGAGCUGUGCAUUAUUCCUGCACCAAGGAAACCUGGAGCAGUAUCCUGGUUACCCUCCACACCCCCUACAAUCCCACAAGCUUUGAAUAUAAUCUCAACACACCCAGAAAAAAUUUUGGCUUCAGAUUCUAUACAAGCUGCUGUGAAUAGGCGCAUUAGAGGAUACCCAGAAAAAAUUCAAGCCUCCCUUCAUCGAGCACACUGCUUCCUUCCAGCUGGUAUUGUAGCGGUGUUAAAGCAGCGCCCCAGAUUGGUGGCUGCAGGAGUCCAAGCAUUUUACCUACGGGACCCUAUUGACCUGCGAGCCUGUCGUAUUUUCAAGACUUUCUUGCCUGAAACACGAAUAAUGGCAUCGGUCACUUUCACUAAAUGUCUGUAUGCACAGUUGGUGCAACAAAGGUUUGUGCCAGACCGGCGGAGUGGAUACAAGAUGCCUCCUCCAUCUCAUCCCCAAUACCGAGCCCAUGAAUUGGGCAUGAAGUUGGCUCAUGGAUUUGAAAUCUUAUGCUCCAAAUGUAGCCCACAUUUUUCUGACUCCAAGAAAUCCGUCAUGACUACCUCACCACUCUGGGCUGGCUUCCUUGAAAGUCUGAAAAAGAAUGAUUACUUUAAGGGUCUGAUAGAAGGUUCUGCUCAGUACCAGGCAAGGCUAGAAAUGGCAAAGAACUACUUCCAACUCUCAGUAAACCGGCCAGAAAGCUCUCUUGCUCUGAGCCCAGGUGAAGAAAUCUUAACCUUAUUACAGACCACACCAUUUGAUAUAGAAGAGCUUAAGAAGGAAGAAGCUAAUCUUCCCCCAGAAGAUGAUGACCAGUGGUUAGAUCUCUCACCAGAUCAGCUGGACCAGCUACUGCAGGAAGCUGCUGGCAAAAAAGAAGCAGAGCCCAUUUCCAAGAAGGAGGAACAGAACUAUGACUUGACUCAAGUCUCAGAGAGCAUGAAAGCUUUCAUAUCUAAAGUCUCAACCCACAAAGGAGCAGAGCUGCCUCGAGAACCUUCUGAGGCUCCAAUCACUUUUGAUGCAGAUUCUUUUCUUAAUUAUUUUGACAAGAUUUUAGGGCCAAGACCUCAUGAGUCAGAUUCUGAUGAUCUGGAUGAUGAAGACUUUGAAUGUUUAGACAGUGAUGAUGACUUGGAUCUUAAAACACAGGGGACUGGGGAAGAAGCAUCUUUAAAAGGAACUCUUAAUGAUCUCAAGUCAUACAUGGCCCAGAUGGACCAGGAAUUGGCAAACACCAGCAUUGGCAAAAGUUUCACCACCCAGAAGCAAAUGGAACCUCUCUCCCAGACUACCAGUAAUAAUUCAGAUGAGGAAGAUUCUGGUGCAGGAGGAUCUGUUAUGACACCAGUGGAUGUAGACCUGAACCUGGUUUCCAACAUACUGGAAUCCUAUAGUUCCCAAGCUGGCCUGGCAGGACCUGCGUCCAACCUUUUACAAAGCAUGGGAGUACAGCUGCCUGAUAACACCGAUCACAGACCCACAAGGCUGUGGCCACCUCAUCAUGACUGAACCAGCCAGCUGCCUCUAGUUCUCUCAAGUUCACCUGGAUCUAAAAGACAUAAAGAAAAACAGGAUGUAAGUGCCUGUGCCUAUCUCCAGACUGAGGAAGGAACAGGGAAGUCAGCAUUGAAGAGACUCUGGACUUUUAUUCCAGGCACCCAACUAACUGAAUUUGUGACCUGGGGCUGUUACCUAGCUUGUCCAAGCUUGGUGUCUGUCUCACUUCUCACAAGGGAAGAAAGAAGAGAAAAUGGAUCUAAAGUGUAUUACAGCCAUCAAGUUUUCACAUACUAAUUCUCAGGUCCGUUAGACUGCAAAAUCCUUAAGGGUUGGGAUUGUAUCUUUCCCUAUCUAUAGCAUCUAGCACUGUCCUACCACAGUGUAAAACACAAUACAUGUGAAUGAAUGAAUGAAUGAAUGAAUGAAUGAAUUUAUCCUAUUUUACAAGUGAGGAAGAUAAAGGUUUAACCAAUCUGAAAUCACAGUUUAGAAAGCGGUAAUUUCAAACCCAGGGCUACAUGGCUCCAAAACCCAUGUUUUGAUGCAAAAUACAUGGGAAAGCACUUUUUAACAUUCAUUUUUAACAUUCAUGUUUUUAAAAAGUACAAAGACUAAUACAGAUGAAAGAAUAUUAUUUUUUACCAAAAACUAUUCAAUGAGGAGGUAAGACUGUUAAGAUUAACAAUUUCUCUCAACCUCCUGUAAUAAAUAAUUCCCACAUUUCUCAUCCUGUUCAUCUUAACUGAAGAAAGAUUACUUUAUAAAGCACUACAACAUGAAGAAAAAGCCCAUCUCGAAUCUCUGUGGUACAUCUACAAGGAAGUUUGGUAGUGUUUGAGAGAGCCCUUUUCAGACAGUCUGUCUAUUCAUUACUGUGGACCUCAAUGGAAUGAGGAAAUAUGCAAAACUGAGGAUACAGAUUUCAAGGUCUCACUAAGUAGCUUUAUGGUUUGCUUUUUAAACAUUGUUUCCUCCCUUAAUUCAAAUAUAAUCCAGGCACGAUGCAAAGAAGUUAGCAAAUUCCAUUUUUAAAUGACUCUCCAAGAAAGUAUCAGAAAAAUAUUAGCUUCAGUUACCGGGUA